rnacentral:rRNA from 1 species
CAGUCGCCACGGGAAAACGGAGGAUCCAAGCGUUAUCCGGAAUUAUUGGGUUUAAAGGGUGCGUAGGCGGAUAGAUAAGUCAGUGGUGAAAGACGGUGGCUCAACCAUCGCAGUGCCGUUGAUACUGUUUAUCUUGAAUAUGGAUGAGGUAGGCGGAAUGUGGCAAGUAGCGGUGAAAUGCAUAGAUAUGCCACAGAACACCGAUUGCGAAGGCAGCUUACCAAGGCAAAAUUGACGCUGAGGCACGAAAGCGUGGGAAUCGAACAGGAUUAGAGACCCCGGUAGUCCCUGUCUCUUAUAC